rnacentral:rRNA from 1 species
UGGGGAAUAUUGGGCAAUGGGCGAAAGCCUGACCCAGCAACGCCGCGUGAAGGAAGAAGGUCUUCGGAUUGUAAACUUCUUUUAUGAGGGACGAAGGACGUGACGGUACCUCAUGAAUAAGCCACGGCUAACUACGUGCCAGCAGCCGCGGUAAUACGUAGGUGGCAAGCGUUAUCCGGAUUUACUGGGUGUAAAGGGCGCGUAGGCGGGGAUGCAAGUCAGAUGUGAAAUCUAUGGGCUUAACUCAUAAACUGCAUUUGAAACUGUGUCUCUUGAGUGCUGGAGAGGUAGACGGAAUUCCUUGUGUAGCGGUGAAAUGCGUAGAUAUAAGGAAGAACACCAGUGGCGAAAGCGGUCUACUGGACAGUAACUGACGCUGAGGCGCGAAAGCGUGGGGAGCAAACAGGAUUAGAUACCCUGGUA